rnacentral:lncRNA from 1 species
AUGGCUGAGAUGGCUGGAGAAAGCUUCAUUUCCAGCAUGGAAAAGCUAUCUGAUGAAAAUUAUGCAUCGUGGUCAGUAAUGAUGCGGUCUUUACUCGAAGCACAGGAUUUGCAUAAUACACUAGAUGGAACAGAUCAAAAUGCUGAGCACAGGAGGAAAGCCAAAGCAUAUUUGAUACUGUGCCUUCAACCAAACCAACUUGUCCAUGUGAGAAACAAGGACACUCGUGAGGAGAUAUGGCAAGCUUUAAGAGAUGUCCAUCAGAGGGAGACUUGCAUGUCUCAGAUGAUUUGGACUAAGAGGCUGUUUUCAGCAAAGCUUGUUCAGGGCCAGGAUGUCAGAAAACAUUUGGACAAUCUAAAGCAAUUAUUGAUUGGAGCUGAGGAAAGAGGCCUACAAUAUUCUGAAGCACAGAAGUGUUAUCUGGUACUGUGCAGCUUGUCUGAGGACUGGGACUUUCUGGUACAUUCUUUCCAGAAUGUGAGAGUCCAGGAUUUGGCUUUGGAUUCAGUGUGUGGGAGAAUCCAAGAAGAAGUGGACCGGAGAUCGUUUGAAGUGGCCCAGAAGCAGACGAUGGCACAGUGCGACCAGGAGGGGACGCAAGUGGUCGGCUUUGGUCCUAAUGGUGUUCCUGGGAAUCGUGAGGAAGUUGCAGUACAUCAGGUCAAAACACACCAUUGUUUUGUCUGCAACAGGCCGGGGCAUUUUGCCAAGAGUUGCCCAAACAACAAGGCUAGAAGUUCUCGUGGGAACAGAGGGGCAAGGAAUUUGUCAACAACAACUAAGCCCCAAGUGUUUAUGGCUGUGGUGAAUGGAAGGAUCACCGAAAAGAACAAAUGGUAUUUGGACUCAGGUUGUACACACCAUGUUGUUACAAAUCUAAAACUUUUGAAAACCAGAAGGGAUGUGUCUGGAACAGCAGUGACUUUGGCUGAUGGAACUGAGAGGAAGUUCAACAAAUGUGGCACUGUGUUCAUCCCUUGCUUGAAUGUGGAUUGGGAAAAUGUACUCUACAUCCCAGAAUUAAGUUCUAAUUUGUUAAGUGUGGCUACCUUAACAGAGAACGGAUAUAGAGUAAUUUUUAGCGGAAUCUAUUGCUAUAUUCAGAGAGAUGGACGAGUAGUAGCAAAAGGUGUAAAAAGAAAUAAAAUGUAUAUGAUGUUUGACAAAAAUAACUUUCCAGAUGGGGCACAAGUUUAUUGUGUGAAACAGAAGAUUAUGCAUGACAGGUGUAUCCAUCAUCUUCACAGAGCGAUGGGUCAUGCACGUGUAGAGGUGCUCAGAAAAACUUUAGAAAUAUGCACAGACUUUGAGUGUGAGAAAUGUGAAAAUUUAUUAGACUGUGCAGUUUGUUCAGAGAUGGGAAUUGAAUCAAAAGAGCAUCCUAAAAGAUCUGGAAUUAAGACCCAGGAAAUGUUUGAAAUGGUCCAUCUAUAUGUAACAGAAUCUGAUGUAAAAAGCCAGGGAGGUUCUCAAUUUACUUUGCUGUUAGUAGAUAGACACACGAGAUUUGGUUAUAUUUACUUCCUUAAGGAUUUGAAGGAAGCUGUUGUAAAGGUGUCUAAUUGGAUAAACAAGGUUCAAAGGGUCUAUGAACAGCAUGUAGGUCAAAUAGUUUUUGACAAAGGAAUUAAUGUGUGUAAUGAAGAGAUGAAGAAAAUGUUGAGUGAAAGGAAUAUAGGUUUUAAAAAUGUAAAAUCAAAUAAGUCAAAUGAAGAAGGUGUGGCUCAAAAUAGGAUGAAGCAAAUUCUUCACAUGACUUAUUUGAUUCUGAAUGCUUUUGUUGUUGUUUUGAUGCCUCUGGCCCAAAGAAUAGCUUGCUACUGUUUUGCUAUUCCCAACCAUAACAUUCUGUUUCAUUACACUUCAAAAAAUUAGACAUUAGAUUUACAAGAAGGCAAUAGAUUGCCGCUUUAGGUACAAGAUUGCUUUAGAAUUGAAGGGUAAUACAGUACACCAUUGUUUAGCUUGUGUUUUUCAGUUAUAAAGUUUUUAUUUUGAUCAUACUUUUUACAUCAUAUUGUUCAUCCUUGUGCUUUCAUAGUCCUGUUCCAUUCUUUAAUUGUUUUAAGAACAAUGGGGAGAAAGUAUAUAAUGCAAGUGUAGAAAGUAUGCAGCUCCCCAAUUACUGUUGUACUGAAACUUUUAGCAGCCACAUCCAAUAUAGUGGAAUGUGAAUAAAAUACGUAGAUAGAGAAGAAAGGAGACAAUAUUCAACCCUGAUAUGGAUAAUAAGCGCUGGGGAUCAGGUUUCAUAACAGCUUGUCCCACAACCUCUGACGGACGUUCCAUUACCAAUUGGGGUGGGGGAGUCACACUGCCUACAUUCAUAUUUGAUCCCAUUACAUUUAUAUCUAACUCUGUGAACAGAAAUGAUUCUACCCCCACUCAAAUAAUGCAGAUUGGUUACAUUGAAUAAUAUCUGCUUCUUCAGGAUAGGAACCUCCAGUGGCAGCUGAUGCCAGGGAUCUGCAGGAAGAAGGUCAAAAGAACAAAUAUUCUACUUGCUGAAAUCUUUACUGGAUCAAAGAGAUUUCUAUCAGCAAAUAGAGUACAAUCCUGCAACUGAAGUAUUGAUUUAUUUGGAGCACACAGAACGGUAUCACUGGCUAAUAUUGUGUGGAUGCAGAGGUGGCAAAUAUAUCAUAUUGCUUUGCUUUUUGCAGUUGACAGUACUGUUACAAUACUAUAAAAAACUUCAGUUAGUUCAAAAUGCUGUGGCUAGACUGUCACCUAGGGCUGGUUCCUGCCUCAACCGAAACAACUUCAUCGACUGCCAGUUCACUUCUGGGCAAUUCAAAGU